rnacentral:rRNA from 1 species
AGAGUUUGAUCCUGGCUCAGGAUGAACGCUGGCGGCGUGCCUAAUACAUGCAAGUCGAGCGAACGGACGAGAAGCUUGCUUCUCUGAUGUUAGCGGCGGACGGGUGAGUAACACGUGGAUAACCUACCUAUAAGACUGGGAUAACUUCGGGAAACCGUAGCUAAUACCGGAUAAUAUUUUGAACCGCAUGGUUCAAAAGUGAAAGACGGUCUUGCUGUCACUUAUAGAUGGAUCCGCGCUGCAUUAGCUAGUUGGUAAGGUAACGGCUUACCAAGGCAACGAUGCAUAGCCGACCUGAGAGGGUGAUCGGCCACACUGGAACUGAGACACGGUCCAGACUCCUACGGGAGGCAGCAGUAGGGAAUCUUCCGCAAUGGGCGAAAGCCUGACGGAGCAACGCCGCGUGAGUGAUGAAGGUCUUCGGAUCGUAAAACUCUGUUAUUAGGGAAGAACAUAUGUGUAAGUAACUGUGCACAUCUUGACGGUACCUAAUCAGAAAGCCACGGCUAACUACGUGCCAGCAGCCGCGGUAAUACGUAGGUGGCAAGCGUUAUCCGGAAUUAUUGGGCGUAAAGCGCGCGUAGGCGGUUUUUUAAGUCUGAUGUGAAAGCCCACGGCUCAACCGUGGAGGGGCAUUGGAAACUGGAAAACUUGAGUGCAGAAGAGGAAAGUGGAAUUCCAUGUGUAGCGGUGAAAUGCGCAGAGAUAUGGAGGAACACCAGUGGCGAAGGCGACUUUCUGGUCUGUAACUGACGCUGAUGUGCGAAAGCGUGGGGAUCAAACAGGAUUAGAUACCCUGGUAGUCCACGCCGUAAACGAUGAGUGCUAAGUGUUAGGGGGUUUCCGCCCCUUAGUGCUGCAGCUAACGCAUUAAGCACUCCGCCUGGGGAGUACGACCGCAAGGUUGAAACUCAAAGGAAUUGACGGGGACCCGCACAAGCGGUGGAGCAUGUGGUUUAAUUCGAAGCAACGCGAAGAACCUUACCAAAUCUUGACAUCCUUUGACAACUCUAGAGAUAGAGCCUUCCCCUUCGGGGGACAAAGUGACAGGUGGUGCAUGGUUGUCGUCAGCUCGUGUCGUGAGAUGUUGGGUUAAGUCCCGCAACGAGCGCAACCCUUAAGCUUAGUUGCCAUCAUUAAGUUGGGCACUCUAAGUUGACUGCCGGUGACAAACCGGAGGAAGGUGGGGAUGACGUCAAAUCAUCAUGCCCCUUAUGAUUUGGGCUACACACGUGCUACAAUGGACAAUACAAAGGGCAGCGAAACCGCGAGGUCAAGCAAAUCCCAUAAAGUUGUUCUCAGUUCGGAUUGUAGUCUGCAACUCGACUACAUGAAGCUGGAAUCGCUAGUAAUCGUAGAUCAGCAUGCUACGGUGAAUACGUUCCCGGGUCUUGUACACACCGCCCGUCACACCACGAGAGUUUGUAACACCCGAAGCCGGUGGAGUAACCUUUUAGGAGCUAGCCGUCGAAGGUGGGACAAAUGAUUGGGGUGAAGUCGUAACAAGGUAGCCGUAUCGGAAGGUGCGGCUGGAUCACCU